GUCAUAUGCUUGUCUCAAAGAUUAAGCCAUGCAUGUCUCAGUACAAGCCAUAUUAAGGUGAAACCGCGAAAGGCUCAUUAAAUCAGUUAUGGUUCCUUAGAUCGUACCCACAAUUACUUGGAUAACUGUGGUAAUUCUAGAGCUAAUACAUGCAAACAGAGCUCCGACCGGAGACGGAAGGAGUGCUUUUAUUAGAUCAAAACCAAUCGGUGGCGGGUUCGCUCGUCAUCGUACAACUUGGUGACUCUGAAUAACUUUACGCUGAUCGCACGGUCAUCGCACCGGCGACGCAUCUUUCAAAUGUCUGCCUUAUCAACUGUCGAUGGUAGGUUCUGCGCCUACCAUGGUUGUAACGGGUAACGGGGAAUCAGGGUUCGAUUCCGGAGAGGGAGCCUGAGAAACGGCUACCACAUCCAAGGAAGGCAGCAGGCGCGCAAAUUACCCACUCCCGGCACGGGGAGGUAGUGACGAAAAAUAACGAUACGGGACUCAUCCGAGGCCCCGUAAUCGGAAUGAGUACACUCUAAACCCUUUAACGAGGAUCAAUUGGAGGGCAAGUCUGGUGCCAGCAGCCGCGG
rnacentral:rRNA from 1 species